GAUGAACGCUGGCGGCGUGCCUAAUACAUGCAAGUCGAGCGAACAGACGAGGAGCUUGCUCCUCUGACGUUAGCGGCGGACGGGUGAGUAACACGUGGAUAACCUACCUAUAAGACUGGUAUAACUUCGGGAAACCGGAGCUAAUACCGUAUAAUAUAUUGAACCGCAUGGUGCAAUAGUGAAAGACGGUGUUUCUGUCACUUAUAGAUGGAUCCGCGCCGUAUUGGUUAGUUGGUAAGGUAACGGCUUACCAAGGCGACGAUGCGUAGCCGACCUGCGGGGGUGAUAGGCCACACUGGAACUGGACCACGGUCCAUACUCCUACGGGAGGCAGCAGUAGGGAAUCUUCCGCAAUGGGCGAGAGCAUGACGGAGCAACGCCGCGUGAGUGAUGACGGUCUUCGGAUCGUAAAACUCUGUUAUUAGGGAAGAACAAAUGUGUAAGUAACUAUGCACGUCUUGACGGUACCUAAUCAGAAAGCAACGGCUAACUACGUG
rnacentral:rRNA from 1 species